CUCCCCGACUGCGCGAGCGCGACACCGGGGGCCUUUUACGACAGUUCGGAAAGCAAGCGCGCCGGACCUUCACGCCCUCUCACGUCGGUUAGUACAGCUUAUGGUCUCCAAUGUGGGAGAGUGUUGAACUGGGAAAUGGUGCCAUCUACUGAAGCAGCAUUCCGGAAGCAUCCUAACAACCAGUUCAUUUUGAAGAAUGUGAGGUAUUGAUUUUCUCAAAAAUGUGCACCUCAGGGCCUGUGAGAUGACUCACAGGUGUUCAACUCCCAAACUGAUGACCUGAAUUCAAGCCCCUGAACCCACAUGGUGGAAGGCAAGAACCAAUUCCUAAACGUUGUCCUCUGACUUCCUUCACAUGCAUGGUAUGGUUUCCCCUGUGAACAUUUAAAAAAUGUACAUCAUCAUGCAGCAAAUAUUCUUUAACUUAAUCUCUCCUUUCAGUAAAAGACAGAAGACUGUCCACAUGUGUUUAUCAUACCCAACGUCACCCUGACGAAGGAAUUAAAAAGGUACCAACCUAACACAAGAAAAUGGGACCAGGCCAUUAGCCAUCCAGUCCUCUCCAAUGUCUGGAAGGGCAGUCAGAGAACUGGGCCAGCUCUUGUUGACGUGAAUCUCUGACAGCUUGCACCUGUACUACCUGGAUUAUGAAGUCUCCUAUGCCAUGGUAAAAAUGAGGCUGGAGGAUCGCCCAUGCAGCUUUUAAGGACCAGACAUGAAAGUCGCUUACAUCAGUUCCACCCACAUCCCAUUAGCCAAACUGCUAGGGAGGUUUCAGCCUAACUGCCUCAGCACCAGGGAGAAGAACACACAUAGUUCCCUGCAGCUCUCCAUAGGCUGUGAAGGUGUAGCUUAGUAUGUCUGGCAGAAGUAAGGCCCUGGACUCGGUCUCCAGCACCACAAAAAGGUAAAAAACAAAUGAAUGUAAGGUUAGUGAUGGACAGCAGAGAAGCGUCCCCCAUCCCUAAUAUGUGGCAGAUACAGGAAAAAAGAAAAACGUGGAUGGAAGAAGAGGCCUCCUCAAAUUCCCACACAGAGAUAAUUCAUCAUGUCCAGACACCUAUCCCGAGAAGAAACAUUGUCACCCUCCUUUCCUUCAAUGCAAUAGUAAUACAUACGUAUUGUAAACUAGGCUCACGCCCGUAGCAGGGGCACUUACAGUGGGACAGCUGCUACCCAGUGUGACCGACUUCUGCCUGGGUGAGGACCAUGAAUCAGAUGGAUUUAUUAUGAACCUGUUUUUCCAGUUGUAAAUGUUACUCUAAUUAUGUGGUUUAAUUAUCUAUUACUCAAGUCUAAGAAAUAUAAGUUCCAAAAUUCAAAGAAAAGUCUUCACCCCUUUGAAGAGCCACAGCUAGGCCUGCUUCACGGAAACUUCAGGCAGGCUCACUGAAGCCUUGGGAACAGAACAGCUGUGGAAGUAUGGCCGUGGAAGGGCCGGCUCACCCUGCAGCUGUGCCUGCCUCACCUUGCCCCACUCCAGCUUUGAAGUAAAAUCAAAGGCAACGGCUGGCCUGCCGUCCUGGUGCUCCUGGACUGGAGAGUAUUCAUUUCCUUGGACAACUUGGAUUCCUGACCACCAUGAAGAAUAAAGUUUUGGUAGCAUGAGUGAGGCCUGAAUUUGAUCAAGAGCAAGAGAGAGCAACAGCAAGAGUGAGAGACUGAUUAUUCUUAGACUUUGCGUCCCAUAUAAAAUCCAAAUGAAUUCCUCUAAUCAUACUACAAAUAAAGAGGUUAGUGUUUUGAUUGUAAUUAUAUUGAGUAAGUAAGUUUAGAGUGAACUGAUACCUUUACAAUAUUGAAUGUUUUACAUCUAUGAACUGGAUGUCUCUCCCUUUAUUUAGGUCUUUAAUUCUCCUGAUACUAUUUCACAGUUUCCCAUGUAGUGACUCCCACAGGUUAGUCUGUUUCAAGACACUCGGCAUUCUUUAUGAUAUUGUGAAUGAAUUUGUGUGUGUGUGUGUGUGUGUGUGUGUGUGUGUGUGUGUGUGUGUGUGUUUAGAGACCUGGAACCAGAUUUUGUGACUGGAUAUUGGUAAUUUUAAAGAGUAAGUUUGGGUUUCGUUUUGUCUUGCUAUGUAGCCCAAGCUGGCCUGAAACUCCUUAUCACUCCUGCUUGGCUUUCUGAGUUCUGGAGUGCAGGAAUGCACUGCUACACCCAGUGUUACUGUUUUUGUUUCUCCCCAGAUUUUAUUUUGUUCAAAGAUGGUGCAAUGAAAUGUAAUUGGUUAUUCUAUACUGAUACUGUGUCCAGAAACUUGACAAAUCACCCCCAAAUCCCAACAACCUUUACUGAUAACAUCUAGAUAGAGGCUUGUGAAUCUAUUGUUAUGGCCCCACCCUCGCCCCACCCUGCCCAGUGGCUGCUUUGCUAUGAAGUCACCAUGGUGGUAUGUCUCACCUGGAGGCACAGGCCUAUCAGCCCUCUCCGUAUAUCUCUCCUUCCGGUGUCUUUUGCUUUUUAUAAGGCUUUAUUUUUCUUUCUUUCUUUCUA